rnacentral:misc_RNA from 1 species
AACGGUCUAUACCUGCGGUACCUGCGGAGGGAUCAUUACCGAGUUAUCAACUCCCAAACCCCUGUGAACAUACCCGAACGUUGCCUCGGCGGGACCGCCCCGGCGCCCCUAGCGGCCCGGAACCAGGCGCCCGCCGGAGGACCCGAACUCUUGCUUUAAACAGUGGCAUACUCUCUGAGUCUCACAAACAAAAAAUAAAUCAAAACUUUCAACAACGGAUCUCUAGAUCGGAAGAGCACA